GACGAACGCUGGCGGCGUGCUUAACACAUGCAAGUCGAACGGAAAGGCCCUGCUUUUGUGGGGUGCUCGAGUGGCGAACGGGUGAGUAACACGUGAGUAACCUGCCCCUGACUUUGGGAUAACUUCAGGAAACUGGGGCUAAUACCGGAAAGGAGCUCCUGCUGCAUGGUGGGGGUUGGAAAGUUUCGGCGGUUGGGGAUGGACUCGCGGCUUAUCAGCUUGUUGGUGGGGUAGUGGCUUACCAAGGCUUUGACGGGUGGCCGGCCUGAGAGGGUGACCGGCCCCAUUGGGACUGAGAUACGGCACAGACUCCUACGGGAGGCAGCAGUGGGGAAUAUUGCACAAUGGGCGGAAGCCUGAUGCAGCAACGCCGCGUGCGGGGUGACGGCCUUCGGUUUGUAUACCGCUUUCGCCUGUGCCGAAGCGUGAGUGACGGUAAUGGGUAAAGAAGCACCGGCUAACUACGUG
rnacentral:rRNA from 1 species